rnacentral:misc_RNA from 1 species
GAAAUGCGAUAAGUAGUGUGAAUUGCAGAAUUCAGUGAAUCAUCGAAUCUUUGAACGCACAUUGCGCCCCUUGGUAUUCCAUGGGGCAUGCCUGUUCGAGCGUCAUUUGUACCCUCAAGCUCUGCUUGGUGUUGAGUGUUUGUCCCGUCUCCGCGCGUGGACUCGCCCCAAAGUGAUUGGCAGCCGGCGUACUGGUCCCGGAGCGCAGCACAUGUCGCGCAAACGAGUGCCUUGGUACGGCGGCGUCCAUAAGCCCCUCUCUCACGCUCUUGACCUCGGAUCAGGUAGGGAUACCCGCUGAACUUAAGC